UGAAUUUUGCUUUUAAAUGAAUGAGAGAGGGAAUUAAACUUCAGGCUUUGGCAGGGGUACAGUAUCAUGGGAGACACAUUGCUGAGGCAAGAGGUAGACCUUAGCAUCUUCUGAGUUGGCAGUCAUUUUCUUGCAAUGCUGACUGGUUCUGCCUCUGACUGUUCCCCUCAGACUUCUUGGCUAAGUAUUUAGUCUUGAAGGCAACUACUGCAAACUAAUUUAGGGUGAUUCCAAAUGUUAGUUGCAUAUGAGGAUACCCAGAAAAUAACAAACAUAGGAAAACAUGAGUCUCUGUUGAUGGUGUGAAUUCAUGCAUGUAUUGUAUUGGUGAAUCUUUCUAAACCCCUUCUUUGGCCUUGAUGCAGGUCAAGUCAACUGGAAAAGUCACAAUAGGUACAGUAUCACAGAUCUGCAGGUCAGAGUUUGGAAGCUGAAGCAGAAGCAGUUGAAGACUAGCCCUAGCCACAUGUCAAGGCUACCUGAGCUACAGGGCACACUGUGCUAAAGGACACUGGAAUGUUUGGGUGUUCCAGAACAGCAAGAAGAAGAGAAAGGAGCUUGCAGAGAAGAAACAAAAUCCCUGCACAUAAUUUUGUUGAUUGCUCUAAUGCAAGAGCUCACUCUUUAGCCCAGGAUGGCUGCAAAAUCGCGUCAAUCAUUCUGCCUCAUCCUUCUGAAUGGUGGGUUACAGUGUGUGAGAUGUUUCACUUGCCCUUACAUCUUCACUCAAACAUAAGAGUCCAAAUUUUAUGAAGUGUACAACAAUCAGAUGAAAACCAAUAAAAUCAGCCCUGAUCAUUGCAUA
rnacentral:sRNA from 1 species